UGCAACCAGGCGUUGCGGCAAGUUACGGUGGGAGCUUCUGUCCGUGCUGUGUGAUUGCGACGAGGGGGACCGCCGCCAGCAGCAGCGUGUCGCCGAUUUCGUCUUUGCCGACAUCGAGCAAGUGCAGCUCGCCGGACCGCCACAAGCGCCCGAAGUGAUGCUGUUUGCACUGCAUCUUUCACUGUGAUAUGAGAGAUCGCAACGGACAGAGACGACCAGAUGCAUACGAACGACUACCAGCGGGGAGUGACCUGUGCCAUAUUUCUCUUAACGUCUCAGGUAUUCAAGAAAUGCCAACAGCCAGAAGUCGCCAUCUUAUCCAGCACGUUAUGGGUACACUCUGGUGGCUCCUACCCCUGCGUCCUACCACCACCCUGUCCCGACUGCGUCCACUAGGGAGUUGGAAGCCUUUGGCGGCUUCUGCCACUGCAUCCUGCCACCACCAUGUCCCGACCACGUCCACUAGGGAGUUGGCAGCCUUAGUGAUGAUGCCAAGCAGGCUGACAGCAGACAGAAAU
rnacentral:lncRNA from 1 species